CAAAGAAAUGGAAACUAAAGGGACAUCCCUCAAUUUGGGAAUGGCUGAACAAAUUGUGGCAGAUGAUGGUGACAGAAUACUAUUGUGCUCUGACAUAAACAGGAGGAUGAUCUCACAAAGAGUUGGAAAGACCUACAUUAAUUGAUGCACUGAAAUGAACAGAACCAGGAAAACAUUAUAAACAGUAACAGCAAUAGUGUGGAAUGAUCAAAUUUGAUAGACUUAGCUGCUCUCAGUGAUACAAUGAUUCAGACAGCAUUUUAGAUAGGUAGCCACAAACACAGAAAAGAUGUAGGAUGACAGGGGAUGGAAGAAAUAAGUCAGGGGGUUUUGAGGAUAAGCCUGAAAUAUGUUUCUUUGCAGGCAGUAGGGAAGGAGUCAGCAGACAGAGACUGAGAAUAAGUCAGAGUGUGGGGACAGAUUCCAGUUCCAUUGCCAUGUGGACCAUUUCAACUAUUUCAGGUCCUGAGCUCUGUGGCUCUCAGGCUCAUGAUAAAGUAGAGAACAAGGAAUACAAGAUGAAAGCAUGUGAUAGCUCUAUUGUGAAUUGACUGUAUGUUCAUCAAAUGAGAGAACAAAUGGAGCACUUUCAAAAUCAGAAGAAGCAAAGCAAUAAAGAAGUACUGAAUUUUCUGGUGAUAAACUAAGAAGAAGAAGCAAAUAUGAAAAUUACUCUUGUGCAAGGAGCUUGAUAUCUUUUAAACUUCUCUGAAAAAAUGAUGCAAAGAAAAGUCCAACAAUUAGAUUUAUUUUCUUGUCAAAUAGACAAAGAUAUCACAAUUAAAAAAGAACAAGUAGAUGAAUUAGUAGAAGAGGAGAUCAGCAGUGGCAAACCUGCAAUGGGAAAAGCUCCAAUGCAGUUUUCCUGGUUUUGCAAUGUCCAAGGAUACAAUUGGCGGAGCUUCUUUUAUUUUAAAAAACAUGAUGAACAAGUAAAGAAUGUGCACAAGCAGGAAGAAACUGACCAAAAGAAUUCUAUCUAUUAACAAACACUGGAAAACAGAAAAGCCAUAUUUUAAUUUUUGACCAGGCAGAUUAACUUCAUUGAAACAGAUUAAAAAACAGUAAUCAUGGGAAAUGGCAAGCUUUCAUUUCAUUUAUAGUAAAUGAAAUAUCAAUAUUUUAACUUAUCUCUGAAAGUACCAAAUAAAUUAUUUCAAAAAGAUCA
rnacentral:lncRNA from 1 species